rnacentral:rRNA from 1 species
CGGCGGACGGGUGAGUAACACGUGGAUAACCUACCUAUAAGACUGGGAUAACUUCGGGAAACCGGAGCUAAUACCGGAUAAUAUAUUGAACCGCAUGGUUCAAUGGUGAAAGACGGUUUUGCCGUCACUUAUAGAUGGAUCCGCGCCGCAUUAGCUAGUUGGUAAGGUAACGGCUUACCAAGGCAACGAUGCGUAGCCGACCUGAGAGGGUGAUCGGCCACACUGGAACUGAGACACGGUCCAGACUCCUACGGGAGGCAGCAGCCA